rnacentral:rRNA from 1 species
ACGUAGGGUGCAAGCGUUGUCCGGAAUUAUUGGGCGUAAAGAGCUCGUAGGCGGUUUGUCACGUCGGAUGUGAAAACUCGGGGCUCAACCCCGAGCCUGCAUUCGAUACGGGCAGACUUGAGUUCGGCAGGGGAGACUGGAAUUCCUGGUGUAGCGGUGAAAUGCGUAGAUAUCGGGAGGAACACCAGUGGCGAAGGCGAUCUUCUGGACGGAUACUGACGCUGAGGCGCGAAAGCUAGGGGAGCAAACAGGA